AUGUCCUUCUGCCUCCCUCCGCCUCGUGUUAGUGCCCGGCACUUCCAGUUUUGGCUGAGAGCUGCAGCAAACGUCCGGGGCCGGCGGUUCCCACGAUGUGGGGGCACCCCGGUCCUUCCGGGGCCAACGGUUCCUGUGAUGCUGGGAUGCCCCGAUCCCCUGGGGCCAGCGGUUCCCGCGAUGCCGGAGCGCCUCGAUCCCUCUGGGGCCGGCGGUUCCCGCGAUGCUGGUGCACCCCGAUCCCUCUGGGGCCGGCGGUUCCCGCGAUGCUGGGGCGCCCCGGUCCCUCUGGGGCCGGCGGUUCCCGCGAUGCUGGUGCACCCCGGUCCCUCUGGGGCCAGCAGUUCUCGCGAUGCCGGGGCACCCUGGUCCCUCUGGGGCCAGCGGUUCCCAAUGAUGCCAGCUGGACCACGGUGAGUCCAAGCGGUAGAAAUGGGUCCUGAGCCACUUUGUUGGCUCAGUAUUUCCCAGCUGGCAAAACCGUGUCUCCGGUCUGGUCCUGCGGGGCCGAGGCGGCCACGCUCCGCUCCCGGGCACCUCCGCUGAGCCGGCGUGCUCCUGGCGUUUCGUCUCCCUGGGGUCCUCGCGCGUGGCCCAGCGCUUUGGUGCAGGCGGAGCAAAAAGGGUCCGACUUAACCGAGUGCUGCUUUAUUAGCAAGCGCAAAACUGGAAUUGCUCAUGGCUUAACACUCGUUUAAAGGACCAGAGCAUCGUAGACGUGGUAUCCGGCAAAGGACUGAUGCAUUUCCUCAGUCGUUUUUACUGCUAAGGUUUUGUUCAGAUUGCUUAUUUUUAUGGAAAUGACUUGCUGCGAGUGGAGAAGGGUGUAUGGCCCAUUAACCAACUGCAAACGCAGAGACAGCCCCGCUUUGCUUCUCCCGGCAGUAAAUUCGAAACACCAAAUUGAGAGUUCAUAGCUGUCUUGGGCUUCAACUACUGUUUCAAAGUGUUCCUGCUGUAUAAAUUUGUCAUUAUGUCAGCAAGCAAGCGCCAAGCGCGCACGUUUCCGGGCCCAAGGUAUUCAGGGCUUGCUGUAAAGUGACUCUAAAAACGAGGGUCUUCAAGCAAACAAACAAGCAAAAAUACCCCAACAGUAACUAACCCGGAUAUGCUGAAGUCUAAAGCACUCAAAUUGGAAAACCCUCAAGUGUUCUGACGAGUUUCUUCCACUGUUACGCGUUUUGCACACGAUUGUGAUUUUUAUGUCAAAAAGAAAAGCCAAAACUUGCAAUACUAUUUUUAGCAGACAAAAAUAAAUAAAAAAACAACUAAGUAUAAAUGUAUAAA
rnacentral:lncRNA from 1 species